rnacentral:rRNA from 1 species
UACGGGGGGGGCAAGCGUUGUUCGGAAUUACUGGGCGUAAAGAGCGCGCAGGCGGUCGUCCAAGUCGCGUGUGAAAGCCCCCGGCUCAACUGGGGAGGGUCACGCGAUACUGAUCGACUCGAAGGCAGGAGAGGGAAGCGGAAUUCCCGGUGUAGUGGUGAAAUGCGUAGAUAUCGGGAGGAACACCAGUGGCGAAGGCGGCUUCCUGGCCUGUUCUUGACGCUGAGGCGCGAAAGCUAGGGUAGCAAACGGG